CUCUAUCCCAAAUUUCUUGUCUUAGAUUUGUCUAGAUAUGGAUGUAUCUAAUACUAAAAUGUGACUUGAUACAUCCGUAUCUAGACAAAUCUAAGACAAGAAUUUUGGGACGGAGGGAGUACUUU
rnacentral:pre_miRNA from 1 species